GCAGGGAAUGAAUUAACGAUGACAAAGACUUCUAAAGGAAAGACACGAGGGGAAGAGAGGCCAGGGUCCCCGACUAGCAGGAGUCCGACUCAGGUGUGUCAGGCUGAGGGAACAUAAGGCCAUCUUUGACCACACAAAUGUGUUCCCUCUCUUAUAACCACUUAGCUCCCAGAACUAACACAAGAGAAGCAGGAAUCCCGAGUCCAAGAAGCCAAAGAGUAGAGUUUGAAUCUUGUUAUUGAGAGCGGGGGGACCUGGCACUGAGUCAUUGAUCAGGGUCCUGGGAAUAUUUUCGCCACAACUCGCCGAGGCAGGGAGGUGCUCAGGUAGCCCUGCUGUUGUCUUUGUGGCAAAGCCGCGACUGAGCGCUGCUAGAUGCAGCCCUGUCCCCAAGCGCUCUGACAUGCUAGCUCCAUGUGGCCAUGCACCUCUGAGACCAGAGUGACUGCCUUGCUCUUUCCUUGUUUGUUGUAGGUACCUCCCAGGAAGCAUCACAGACAACCACCACUCCUGGAAUCAGUGGCACAGAGGCCACCACUUCCAAGGAACACAUUCCAACCACUGAAGCAGAGACUUCCCCUGGCACCUCCCAGGCAGCAUCGGAAACAACGGCUACAGGAAUCACUACCACCACAGGUAAGGCCAAGAGAAAGGAGUCACUCCCAAGAGGGUGAUCUAUGAGAUGGUCGCUCCUGGCGUCUCCACUCCCCUGUUCUCUCGUCAUUGUCCCUCCCUGAGCAGUUGCCUCUUCCGCUGCCGUCAGUGAAACUUCUGGUCUGGAGUGCACACGGGUGAAUGUUGACCGUACAGAAUUCCCAUGACCGGUGUGGCCUGGAAGGUCAUGGGGAGAAUUGAAUUUGGGGGAGGCAGUGUAGGAUGGGAACAGGACAGAGCGGCUGGGACAAUGCUGUUAAAUAUCCCUGAGACGUGACUUUGGAGGACUACUUGGGACGGACCCCUUUUUCUCGGGGCUUACUUGGAUUCAGGCUUCCACCAGCUCCCCCAGGAAGCCCAGUCACACAUCUUCACAGUUCUCUGGUGGGAGUUAGUGCUUUGAGGUUGUUCAGUUAACAGCUCUGGAGGUGCCUGUUCUAGGGGUUCCAUUCAGUGCCUCCCU
rnacentral:lncRNA from 1 species